AAGGCCAUGGGUUUCGGUGGAGUUGGGAAAACUGUUACAGUAUAUCAGAUCGUAAUUUACUGCGUGGAUCUUUCCAAGCCACAGAGACCAUAUGGCCUU
rnacentral:pre_miRNA from 1 species